rnacentral:rRNA from 1 species
AUUGAACGCUGGCGGCAGGCCUAACACAUGCAAGUCGAACGCCCCGCAAGGGGAGUGGCAGACGGGUGAGUAACACGUAGGUUACGUGCCCUUUGGUGGGAAUAACUUAGGGAAACCUGAGCUAAUACCGCAUAUGCCCUUCGGGGUGAAAGUCUUCGGACGCCAGAGGAUCGGCCUGCGGCCCAUUAUUUAAUCCUUGUUGGUGGGGUAACGGCCUACCAAGGGUACGAUGGGUAGCUGGUCUGAGAGGAUGAUCAGCCACACUGGGACUGAGACACGGCCCAGACUCCUACGGGAGGCAGCAGUGGGGAAUAUUGGACAAUGGGGGAAACCCUGAUCCAGCUACGCCGCGUGGGUGAUGAAGGCCUUCGGGUUGUAAAGCCCUGUCGAGGGGGACGAAGUUCUGACGGUACCCCUCAAGAAAGCACCGGCUAACUCCGUG